GAGAGAGAGAGAGAGAGAGAGAGGAGAGAGAGUUGAGCUAGAAUACUCUCAAAAGCACCAAGGGGGUGGUGCUUUUGAGUUUUUAACCAUUGGAUGGAGAGAUGUAUGGUUGAGAUGAUGGUGGUAGGUGGUGGUAGGUAGUGGUAGGUGGAAUAGUGUUUGAUCCAAGGGGUAUUAGUAAUUAAGGAGUAGAUCCAAGGGCUAGAAACUUAGAAGCACCAAGGGAUUGGUGCUUCUAAAAGUAUUCUAGCUCAAUUAUAUUCUAAAAGUAUGUAUGCAUGCAUGUAUGUAUGUAUGUAUGUAUGUAUGUAUGUAUGUAUGUAUUGAGGUAAAUUUUAUCGAUUGGCAUUUAUGAAUCAACAUAAAAAAU
rnacentral:lncRNA from 1 species